UUUGCCUACGGGGGGCAGCAGUGAGGAAUAUUGGUCAAUGGCCGUAAGGCUGAACCAGCCAAGUCGCGUGAAGGAAGAAGGAUCUAUGGUUUGUAAACUUCUUUUAUAGGGGAAUAAAGGUAUCCACGUGUGGAUAUUUGCAUGUACCCUAUGAAUAAGCAUCGGCUAACUCCGUGCCAGCAGCCGCGGUAAUACGGAGGAUGCGAGCGUUAUCCGGACUUAUUGGGGUUAAAGGGUGCGUAGGUUGUUUUUUAAGUCAGCGGUGAAAGUGUGGG
rnacentral:rRNA from 1 species